GGUAGGCACAGCGGCUGCGCGCGGGGCGACGAGGGACGCACGGAGCGGCGCGCCCUACUCCGCGUGAGGCGCUCGAGCCCGGCCGCGGAUGGCGGGCCUCGGCGAGGGGGUGCCAGGCGGGCUCGCAGACGUCUCCAUGUCGCCUACCGUGCGUGACGCGCCGCGGAGGAGCCUUUCCCGAGAGAUGACCGAAACAGAGGAGGACUUCAGUCCUUUUCCUGGAGGGUAUGACUAUUUGGUUGACUAUCUACCUUUAUCCUUUGCAAAAGAAAGCCCGAGCUGGGAACACAUGUAUGAGGAAGUUUUGCAAUCAUUUUCAAAUCAAACUGCCUCUAACACCGCCCAGCUGGAGGUCCUUCCUGAUGCACUGGGGGUAGAGCAGGCCUGAGCUUCCCAGAUUGCUGUGGCGAGGACCUCCAGUACUGUGCUGAAAAGAACUGGUGUUGGAACAGGCAGUGGCUGGACAAUGCCAUGUUACCAGCUGGGGAGACGUCCGCUUUGCACCCUCCGAUUUUGAAGCUGUGAGAAGAGCCAGCUGAGGUGCUCUGUGUCCAACAGGAGAACCCAAGCGACCUACACAGUGGAAGAGAAAAUAGCACAAGCCUGACAGCUUUGUUUAUAGUUAAGAAGAUUCUGUCUCCUGUAAUAGUCACAUUCUAUAGCCAGUAUAACAGAGUUUCUAUUGCAAGCCCAUAUUACAAACUUUUUAUAGAGGACCAAACCAAAUUUUAUUUUAAACUACUGACU